rnacentral:sRNA from 1 species
AGAAAUGCUUCAGGUUUGGAUUUGCCCUGGUGAUUUCAUGUUAAAAGGGGCAGCUCUUGGGCCAAGAGGGGUGAGUUUAGUUUAUUCAUUGCAGAUGUAGGUCACUCUGCAAGGUAGUCUAUCUCUAACAAGUCCGGGGGGAUGCUCUGGUCCAGUCUUCUUCCGUAUCUUCUGCCUGACUUCAGCCUGGAGCUGCUGUUCUUUGAUUUCCUCCCCUGCACCAGUGCUCAGAAUCCUCCAAGAAGAGGGAAACAGGGAGCAAAUAAACAGACCAAGGAGAAGCAGCAGAGACAACCAGAGGCCAGCAUAGGGUCCAUGGUAUCCAGGGUAGACGCUGAAGAGGCAUUGGUGGAUCUGCAGCUACACACAGAAGCCCAGGCUCAAAUUGUGCAGAGCUGGAAAGAGCUAGCCGACUUCACAUGCGCAUUCACAAAGGCUGUGGCUGAGGUGCCCUUCAAGAAG